AGUGAACGCUGGCGGUAGGCCUAACACAUGCAAGUCGAACGGCAGCACAGUAAGAGCUUGCUCUUACGGGUGGCGAGUGGCGGACGGGUGAGGAAUACAUCGGAAUCUACUUUUUCGUGGGGGAUAACGUAGGGAAACUUACGCUAAUACCGCAUACGACCUACGGGUGAAAGCAGGGGAUCUUCGGACCUUGCGCGAUUGAAUGAGCCGAUGUCGGAUUAGCUAGUUGGCGGGGUAAAGGCCCACCACGGCGACGAUCCGUAGCUGGUCUGAGAGGAUGAUGGGCCACCCUGGAACUGAGAAACGGUCCAGACUCCUACGGGAGCCAGCAGUGGGGAAUAUUGGACAAUGGGCGCAAGCCUGAUCCAGCCAUACCGCGUGGGUGAAGAAGGCCUUCGGGUUGUAAAGCCCUUUUGUUGGGAAAGAAAAGCAGCAGGUUAAUACCCCGCUGUUCUGACGGUACCCUAAGAAUAAGCACCGGCUAACUUCGUG
rnacentral:rRNA from 1 species